UACGUAGGGAGCAAGCGUUGUUCGGAUUUACUGGGCGUAAAGGGCGCGUAGGCGGCAAAUCAAGUCAGCUGUGAAAUCUCCGAGCUUAACUCGGAACUGUCAGCUUAUACUGUUUUGCUAGAGUGCGGAAGGGGCAAUCGGAAUUCUUGGUGUAGCGGUGAAAUGCGUAGAUAUCAAGAGGAACACCUGAGGUGAAGACGGGUUGCUGGGCCGACACUGACGCUGAGGCGCGAAAGCCAGGGGAGCAAACGGG
rnacentral:rRNA from 1 species